UUCAAAUCUAAGAGAUAUUUCUUAAACUAAACAUCACUCCACCCUUGGCUAUGGAAUCCAUCUCAAGCGGUUUGUUGUUAUUAUUAUUAUAUUUCACGUUGAGUCUCAUCUUGACUCACUCCGACUCAGCACCACAAGCCUUCCGUCGUGACCCCGGCCACCCUCAGUGGCAUCAUAGCGCUUUUCAAGAUGUCCGUGACAGCGUCCGAUCGGACGUCCGCCGCAUGCUCCACACUCGCGCCGAGGUUCCAUUUCAGGUUCCGUUGGAGGUGAAUGUAGUGCUCGUAGGUUUUAAUGGUGAUGGAGGGUAUAGGUUUGGUAUAGAUUCGCAUAAAUUAGAAGAGUUUUUGAGGAUCGGCUUCCAAACUCACAGGCCUUCAUGUAUGGAGACUGGCGAGCCUCUUGAUAUUGAACAUCAUGUCGUUUUUAAUGUUUUUCCGGCUGGGCAGCCGGAACUGAUUGCGCUUGAGAAGGCAUUGAAAGAGACUAUGGUUCCUGCUGGGAAUGCAAGAGAAACUGAUUUUGGAAGGGAGGUGCCAUUGUUUGAGGUAGAAGCAGCGACCGUGGAACCAGUAUUUCACAAACUAUAUUCCUACAUAUUUGAUUUGGAUAAUUCAGAGUACUCUGCCAAAGAUAAUGACAGACCUGCUCCUAAUGCAAUCUUUCUUGUAAAUUUCGAUAAGGUGAGAAUGGAUCCUAGAAACAGGGAAAUUGACUUAGACAAUUUGAUGUAUGGAAAACUUAAGGAAUUGUCUGAUGAAGAUUUGAGGAAACAAGAGGGAGAUUACAUUUAUCGGUAUCGGUAUAACGGAGGAGGAGCAACUCAAGUUUGGCUGAGUUCGGACAGAUUUGUCGUGAUCGACCUGUCAGCAGGCCCUUGCACAUAUGGAAAGAUUGAAACUGAAGAGGGAAGUGUCAGUUCCAGAACACUGCCACGCAUACGGAACAUGAUGUUUCCAGGAGGUGUAGGUGCUGCUGGUGAUCAUUCUACUCGUGAUACUUUUGUUGGACAACUUGCUGCUUUAAUAUCAACCACGGUAGAGCAUGUUGUGGCUCCAGAUGUUAGGUUUGAGACUGUUGAUAUGACAACAAGAUUGCUCAUACCAAUCAUUGUUCUACAUAAUCAUAACAGAUAUAAUGUUAUUGAGAACGGUCAUAAUUACAGCAUCAAUGUUGAAGAAAUUGAAUCAGAGGUGAAGAAGAUGGUUCAUGAUGGACAAGAAGUUGUGAUUGUCGGUGGUUCAUAUGCUUUACAUAGUCAUGAGAAGUUGGCUAUCGCCGUAUCAAAAGCAAUGCGGGGUCAUUCCUUGCAAGAAACUAAAAAGGAUGGACGUUUCCAUGUCCACACCAAGACAUUUCUGGAUGGAGCUGUACUUAAAGAAGAGAUGGAACGGUCUGGUGAUGUGCUUGCUGCAGGUUUAGUUGAGAUUGCUAACCCAGCUCUUUCAAGCAAAUUUUUCCUUCGACAGAACUGGAUGGACGAAUCUAACGGUUCAAGUGAUUCAAUUCUUAAGCAUAAACCUCUUUGGGCCAGUCAAACCUCUAAUAGUGUCAAGAAGAGGAAAAAGCAAUCGCAAAAGAAACAAGGAGAUCUGCAACGGACUUAUGGGACAAGAGUUAUUCCUGUCUUUGUGCUAUCGCUGGCUGAUGUGGAUCCAAAUCUUAUGAUGGAGGACGAAAGCCUUGUUUGGACAAGCAAAGAUGUUGUGAUUGUUCUCCAGCAUCUAAAUGAAAAGAUACCUCUGAGUUAUGUUUCGGAGAUAGAGCGAAGGCAUGCCUUUCCAUCACUUGCACAGCGCCACAUAUUGGCAGGACUUGCUUCUACUGUGGGCGGGUUGAGCGCACCAUAUGAAAAAGCAUCUCAUGUGCAUGAAAGGCCAAUUGUAAAUUGGCUCUGGGCGACUGGUUGCCACCCAUUUGGACCAUUCUCUAAUACUUCUAAAGUCAGUAAAAUGCUACAGGAUGUAGCCUUGGUAAGAGGAACACAAUUUAUGCUCGUGUGGAUUCUGCACUGCAUAGAAUUCGUGAAAUGUCAGAGGAUGUCCAAACCUUUGCUGCGGAGUAUCUAAAAACCCCUCUUGGUGAACCUGUCAAAGGCAAGAAGAACAAGACAACAACCGAAUUGUGGUUGGAGAAGUUCUACAAAAAGACGACGAACUUGCCAGAACCUUUUCCACAUGAAUUAGUUGAACGGUUGGAGAAGUACCUAGACAGCCUUGAGGAACAGCUUGUAGAUCUGUCUUCCUUGUUAUAUGAUCACCGGUUACAAGAAGCACAUUUGAACAGUUCCGAAAUUCUUCAAAGUGCUCUUUUCACCCAUCAGUAUGUUGAAUAUGUUUUGACCUCUGAGAGAGAGAAAAUGAGAUGCUGCGACAUUGAAUACAAAUAUCCUGUGCAGUCUUCACAGACUUAUAUCUACGGAGGGAUUCUUCUUGCUGGGUUCUUUGUGUAUUUUGUUGUCAUUUUCUUUUCUAAUCCUGUCCGUUGACGAUACGAUCCCAACCAACCGAUGAACUGUUCUCAAUUUUUGAAGGCACUGAUGUUUUGCUGUGGGUGGGGUAAAGCCCUGACAAGUAUAAUGUUGAAAAGAAAUUGACUAAUCCUUUUGUAGUUUAAAGCACAAUAUGAUAGAUUACAGCUUCUCUCAA